rnacentral:rRNA from 1 species
AUUGAGCGCUGGCGGCAUGCUUUACACAUGCAAGUCGAACGGUAACAGGCCGCAAGGUGCUGACGAGUGGCGAACGGGUGAGUAAUGCAUCGGAGCGUGCCCAGUCGUGGGGGAUAACGCAGCGAAAGCUGCGCUAAUACCGCAUACGAUCUAUGGAUGAAAGCGGGGGACCGUAAGGCCUCGCGCGAUUGGAGCGGCCGAUGUCAGAUUAGGUAGUUGGUGGGGUAAAGGCUCACCAAGCCAACGAUCUGUAGCUGGUCUGAGAGGACGACCAGCCACACUGGGACUGAGACACGGCCCAGACUCCUACGGGAGGCAGCAGUGGGGAAUUUUGGACAAUGGGCGCAAGCCUGAUCCAGCAAUGCCGCGUGCAGGAAGAAGGCCUUCGGGUUGUAAACUGCUUUUGUACGGAACGAAACGGUCCUGGUUAAUACCUGGGGCUAAUGACGGUACCGUAAGAAUAAGCACCGGCUAACUACGUGCCAGCAGCCGCAGUAAAAC